UAGCGGAAUACCCUGGCCGUUAAAUGCGGUCUUGCAUGAAUGAUUUCACGAUACAACAGCUGUCUCAAUGAUUGGCUCAGUGAAAUUAUAAUAGCAGUGCAGAUACUGCUUACCUCUAGGUAGACGAGAAGACCCUAUGCAGCUUUACUGUUGCUAAUUAUUGGAUAUGAUUUAAC
rnacentral:rRNA from 1 species